rnacentral:lncRNA from 10 species
CUUACUCAGACAAAAAAGGCUGUCAGCAGCAAGUCUAGGCAGAAGCCAGGAGGAGUUAGGAACAGACUAUAAGAAAUGGUUGGUCUGGAGGAAAAAGGGUAAAACUUAUGAGGGCCCUUGUGAAUUGAUGAAUAUGAAGACACUAAGAAAGCAGAAAUAGAACUGAGAAGAAUGAAAUAACUGUCUCUACCUUUCUCGAAUUGUCUAAUAUGGAAAGAAUGAAAGACAGCUAAUAAGCAACUCUCUGCAAGAAGACAUAUGGCUUAGGUUCUGCUGAGCUAUUGGUGAUUUGAUUCCAUGCAUAUGUAUUCACUACUGAGAUGGGAUCUUGCUAUGUGGCCCAGGCUGGCCUCAAACUCCUGGCCUCAAGAUAUUUCCCCCUGCCUUGGCCUCUCAAAGUGACCACUCUUUUUCUUAUCUUACUCAGAAUCUACUUGGAGAGAGUCAAACACAGAAUCCCUUUGAAUUUAAUGGCCAUUCCAGGUGAUUUGAACAGCCAAAUAAGAAACAGGUCCUCUUCAAUGUACAAUCUGCCAAGUAUGAAGUCUGAAUGACCAUCAUUAUUAUGUAUUUAAUGUGCAUAGAAAAUCUAUCUGCAACCUUCCAGAGUGUACCAGAAGUUUGGAAUGUACAUUAUUAUUGGCUCCAUCUCAAACCACUCAUAAAUCAAAGAAAAUAGCAGUUCCAGAGGAAUCAUCAUAGAGGCUUCUAGGCCCCCAUGCUGUGUGAACCUGGUGAGAAAGGGAAGUCUGCUCUCACUGGACACUGGAACUGUUUGUCUCUGUCUCUGCUGUACUUUCCCUGCCUCUACCUCACUUAGUAAAGAAAUCAUCUUUGCUUGAUAACUAAAACAACCAAUAAGGCUGAGAAAGGGGAAAACCCACAUCUGGAUUUAAAUACAAGGUAUUGGGCCAGCUGCUGGGGAUUAAACUUUGAACAAAACAGAUAGAAUCUAUGUCCUCAUGGGAGUGGCUAAUGGGAGAGUCGGAACAAAAAAAUAGCCAAGGAUAAUCCAGCAAAUGAUUUGGUGAAUGCUAUCAAAGAGAGAAAUACACAUGCUCUGGGAACACCAAGUAGGUACCUAAUACCUAACCUGUACCUGGGGGGCUGGAAAGGGCUUCUUGGAAGAGGCAGAGACUAAAAUGAAGAAUAAGCAUAAGUUAAGACAAAGCUGGGGUGGGGUCAGAAAGAGUGUGAUAGGCCAACGCAGCAACAUGAGCCAAGACUCAAAAAUAAGAGACAGUGUGGCACAUUUGAUGUAGGAAAGACAUUUAGCUGGGAUAGAAAGAAGGCUAGUGUUGGGGCUGAAUGAGGUUGCAUAAAAGUUUGUAAGCCAAGUUAAGGAAUUGAUCAAAUUUAUAUUUUAGAAUGAUCACUCUGACCUCAGCAUUACAUGACCUGAAGGGGUUAAGCCCAUACAUCUGUAGAGAGACCCGUUAGAAUAGGACUGCAGUAAUAUGGUGAGAGACACUGGUGCCUAACUAGGCUGGUGAUCAUAGAGAUAAAGGGAUAUAUGGGAGAGGUAGAGCCGACAGCCAUUGAUAACUGGUGGUCGGCCAGGUCAAGGGGACAGUGUCUGCUUUAGGUAAUUGGCUUGAUGAUAAUCUCAUUUUCAAAGAUCAGGAACACAGGCCUGAGAGUACAUUUGGAGAGGAAGAUGAUUCGGGUUUGCAUCAUGUAGGGUUCGAGGUGUCUAUGGGACACUAUAUGCAGAAGUCCAGUAGGCAAUUGGUUCUGUGGGCCUAGCACUCAGAGGAGAGUGCGAGUCUAAUGACAGAAAAUUGGCAGUCACCAUCGUGUAGAUGGUAAUGGAUGGUAUGAUUUGGGGUGAUUGCUGAGGCAGGAACAUGGGCACAAUGCUGAGGAGUGCAAAUGGCUAAGGGAUGGGACACAGCAGGAACCUGCAAAGGAGCCCAGAAAACAAGAAAUAGGGAGAAAGCCUGGGAACACUGUGAUUCUACGGAAUCACAGAAUUGAAGACAAACAAUGUGAAACUAAGUACAGGCCCAUUUACUAACAUAUGUGUGUGUAUAUAUAUAUAUAUAUAUAUAUAUAUACACACACACACAUAUAUAUACUUAUAUAUAUAUACACACACAUAUAUAUACUUAUAUAUAUAUACACUUAUAUAUAUAUACUUAUAUAUACUUAUAUAUAUAUACACUUAUAUAUAUAUACUUAUAUAUACUUAUAUAUAUAUACACUUAUAUAUAUAUACUUAUAUAUACUUAUAUAUAUAUAUAUAAAAUUUAUUUAUUUAUUUUUAUUUUAUUUUAUUUAUUUAUUUUUGAGACAGAGUCUCCCUCUCUGACCCAGGCUGGAGUGCCGUGGUAUGAUCUCGGCUCACUGCAACUUCUGCCUCCCAGCUUCAAGCAAUUCUCCUGUCUUAGCUUCCCAAGUAGCUGGGAUUACAGGCGUGCACCACCACACCAGGCUAAUUUUGUAUUUUUAGUAGAGACGGGGUUUUGCCAUGUUGGCCAGGCUGGUCUCGAACCCCUGACCUCAGGUGAUCUGCCCACCUCAACCUCCCAAAGUGCUGGGAUUACAGGUGUGAGCCACUGCAUCUGGCCUCAUAUAUUUUACUAUAACAAAUCAGUGUAGGCCAAAUAAAGUUAGAAAUGGAAGCUAAUGGAAAUAAAGAAUAGGCUUUCCUGUUAGUAUCUAUAGGUGUGUGUGUGUGUGUUCGUUAUUUAGGGAAAGAAACAGGGAACUUGGGGCAUAUAAUAUUUAUGUUCCCUUAGCUUAGGCAUAUAUGGUAUAUUUAGUUACUUAAUUAAUUUUUUAUUUAGAAGUUAUGUAUAGAGCAUUUUUCCUAGGCCAGUGGGGGAUUAAACCAGAAAUAUAAGAAGUGUCUGCCUUCUGGAAGCUUGUGAUCUAGUUAGGGGUAUCACAAGUGCACAGCGUUCACCAGUGGCAGAGAAGCAUGUGAUGAGUACCCAGAGCUUAUAUUGAGAAUAAGGUAUACAAGAAUUUAGAGGAGGCCAAUGUUGAUUUUCACCAAGAGUAUGGGACAGAGAGACAAGACAGGGUUGGUCAUCUAGUUCUGUGCACUGAAUAUAAUUUUGCAGGUUUAGGAGUGUUUGAAAACUACAAGGAAGAUAGAAUCUUGGUCUUGUUCUCCAGCAUGCCCUUUCUUGAACUCACCAGGGUAAUGCUGCAUCUUUUCAGAAAUGCCUCUGGCUUCUCAAAGCAACUUUCAUCCUGGAGAGGAACAAUUAGUCUUUGUCUUUCAUUAGUAAAAGAUUUAACGGCUCAGAAGGAGAAGCUAGUGGUGACUUUUCAAUCACCCCUUCUACCUCCCAG